GAUGAACGCUAGCUACAGGCUUAACACAUGCAAGUCGAGGGGAAACGAUAGAGAAAGCUUGCUUUUUCUAGGCGUCGACCGGCGCACGGGUGAGUAACGCGUAUCCAACCUGCCCAUCACUUGGGGAUAACCUUGCGAAAGUAAGACUAAUACCCAAUGACGUCUCUAGAAGACAUCUGAAAGAGAUUAAAGAUUUAUCGGUGAUGGAUGGGGAUGCGUCUGAUUAGCUUGUUGGCGGGGUAACGGCCCACCAAGGCGACGAUCAGUAGGGGUUCUGAGAGGAAGGUCCCCCACAUUGGAACUGAGACACGGUCCAAACUCCUACGGGAGGCAGCAGUGAGGAAUAUUGGUCAAUGGACGAGAGUCUGAACCAGCCAAGUAGCGUGCAGGAUGACGGCCCUAUGGGUUGUAAACUGCUUUUAUAAGGGAAUAAAGUGAGUCUCGUGAGACUUUUGCAUGUACCUUAUGAAUAAGGACCGGCUAAUUCCGU
rnacentral:rRNA from 1 species